rnacentral:lncRNA from 1 species
AGGAUAGGUGUUUUUCCUUCUGUUGAAAACUGAACAUGUGACUCUGAAAUCUUACCAGGUUGACAAUGGUAUUAAAUCUUCAGGUUGCUCAGGUGCCAUGAAUUCAGGGGAUGGAUAAUAAGUAUAACGUAUUUGAGAUGUGUCAGCCACAAAAAGAAAGUUCCUUAACUGUCAUCCUGUGGUUUCCUGACUGUUCACAACCUUGCCAACUACCACAACAGCAUUAAUUUUAUGUCCAGAAUUUUCUUUUUCCUACAAUAAACUGAGUUUUACUGUAGGAAAAAGUUAGGGCAAAGUCACCCAUUGAGCCCAGGAUAACCACUGGAUAAGCUACCAGCACCAGCUUUUGUAAGACUCAGCUUUUUUCUCUUAAAAAAUGAGUUCCAGGAAAAUGUUCUAUUUCACAAAGGCAGUUUUCCUCCAACUCACUAAUGUUUGUUGAUCUGAACAAACUCAUGCUUUGUUAAUAAAUUAAGCAAAAAUGCUUUUAAAAUUCAACCACAAUGAAACAUUUCAUCCCGACCUCAUUAUGUGCCAUUUCCAUGCCUCGCCAGAGUUUCUGAGAACUCCCCUGUGUGCACCUAAGUGACAGCAGAAAAAU